UGUGUAUCUGCCAAUGAUGUAUAAUUUAUUUUGCUGAUUUAUGUGAAGAAAAUUAAGUUUCGUCACUACCUCUGAGGCAAAUGUACA